GCGAGAAUAUUCGACAAUGGACGAAAGUCUGAUCGAGCGACGCCGCGUGUACGAUGAAGUUUUUCGGAAUGUAAAGUACUUUUAUGAGGGAAGAACGUUGACGGUACCUCAUGAAUAAGUGGUUGCUAACUCUGUGCCAGCAGCAGCGGUAAUACAGAGACCACAAGCGUUAUCCGGAAUUAUUGGGCGUAAAGCGUGCGCAGGCGGCCGCGCAAGUCAGGUGUGAAAUCCCCGGGCUUAACCUGGGAAUUGCGCUUGAAACUAUGCGGCUUGAGUGUGGCAGAGGGGGGUGGAAUUCCACGUGUAGCAGUGAAAUGCGUAGAGAUGUGGAGGAACACCGAUGGCGAAGGCAGCCCCCUGGGCCAACACUGACGCUCAGGCACGAAAGCGUGGGGAGCAAACAGGAUUAGAUACCCAAGUAGUCCCUGAGCGGGCUGGCAAGGCGCAU
rnacentral:rRNA from 1 species